rnacentral:rRNA from 1 species
GACGAACGCUGGCGGCGUGCUUAACACAUGCAAGUCGAACGGAAAGGCCCUGGUUUUGUGGGGUGCUCGAGUGGCGAACGGGUGAGUAACACGUGAGUAACCUGCCUUUGACUUUGGGAUAACUUCAGGAAACUGGGGCUAAUACCGGAUAGGAGCUCCUGCUGCAUGGUGGGGGUUGGAAAGUUUCGGCGGUUGGGGAUGGACUCGCGGCUUAUCAGCUUGUUGGUGGGGUAGUGGCUUACCAAGGCUUUGACGGGUAGCCGGCCUGAGAGGGUGACCGGCCACAUUGGGACUGAGAUACGGCCCAGACUCCUACGGGAGGCAGCAGUGGGGAAUAUUGCACAAUGGGCGGAAGCCUGAUGCAGCAACGCCGCGUGCGGGAUGACGGCCUUCGGGUUGUAAACCGCUUUCGCCUGUGACGAAGCGUGAGUGACGGUAAUGGGUAAAGAAGCACCGGCUAACUACGUG